GGGGAUAUAGCUCUGUUGGUAGAGUGCUUGCCUUGCAUUUCCAAGGACCUGGGUUCAAUUCCCAGCACCACCA
rfam:Ictidomys tridecemlineatus contig013875, whole genome shotgun sequence.